CAGCAGCCGCGGGAAUACGUAGGUGGCAAGCGUUGUCCGGAAUUAUUGGGCGUAAAGGGCUCGCAGGCGGUUUCUUAAGUCUGAUGUGAAAGCCCCCGGCUCAACCGGGGAGGGUCAUUGGAAACUGGGAAACUUGAGUGCAGAAGAGGAGAGUGGAAUUCCACGUGUAGCGGUGAAAUGCGUAGAGAUGUGGAGGAACACCAGUGGCGAAGGCGACUCUCUGGUCUGUAACUGACGCUGAGGAGCGAAAGCGUGGGGAGCGAACAGGAUUAGAUACCCCCGUAGUCCCUGUCUCUUAUAC
rnacentral:rRNA from 1 species